ACGCUGGCGGCGUGCCUAAUACAUGCAAGUCGAGCGAACAGACGAGGAGCUUGCUCCUCUGACGUUAGCGGUGGACGGGUGAGUAACACGUGGAUAACCUACCUAUAAGACUGGGAUAACUUCGGGAAACCGGAGCUAAUACCGGAUAACAUGUUGAACCGCAUGGUUCAACAGUGAAAGACGGUCUUGCUGUCACUUAUAGAUGGAUCCGCGCCGCAUUAGCUAGUUGGUAAGGUAACGGCUUACCAAGGCAACGAUGCGUAGCCGACCUGAGAGGGUGAUCGGCCACACUGGAACUGAGACACGGUCCAGACUCCUACGGGAGGCAGCAGUAGGGAAUCUUCCGCAAUGGGCGAAAGCCUGACGGAGCAACGCCGCGUGAGUGAAGAAGGUCUUCGGAUCGUAAAACUCUGUUAUUAGGGAAGAACAAAUGUGUAAGUAACUAUGCACGUCUUGACGGUACCUAAUCAGAAAGCCACGGCUAACUACGUGCCAGCAGCCGCGGUAAUACGUAGGUGGCAAGCGUUAUCCGGAAUUAUUGGGCGUAAAGCGCGCGUAGGCGGUUUUUUAAGUCUGAUGUGAAAGCCCACGGCUCAACCGUGGAGGGUCAUUGGAAACUGGAAAACUUGAGUGCAGAAAAGGAAAGUGGAAUUCCAUGUGUAGCGGUGAAAUGCGCAGAGAUAUGGAGGAACACCAGUGGCGAAGGCGACUUUCUGGUCUGUAACUGACGCUGACGUGCGAAAGCGUGGGG
rnacentral:rRNA from 1 species